CAAAUCAGGUAGGAAUACCCGCUGAACUUAAGCAUAUCAAUAAGCGGAGGAAAAGAAACCAACAGGGAUUGCCUCAGUAGCGGCGAGUGAAGCGGCAAAAGCUCAGAUUUGAAAUCGUGUUUCGGCACGAGUUGUAGAUUGCAGGUUGGAGUCUUUGUGGAAGCGUGUGUCUAAGUCCCUUGGAACAGGGUGCCAUUGAGGGUGAGAGCCCCGUGAGACGCGUGCGGAAGCUGUAAGGCCCUUCUGACGAGUCGAGUUGUUUGGGAAUGCAGCUCUAAGUGGGUGGUAAAUUCCAUCUAAGGCUAAAUAUUGGCGAGAGACCGAUAGCGAACAAGUACUGUGAAGGAAAGAUGAAAAGCACUUUGAAAAGAGAGUGAAACAGCACGUGAAAUUGUUGAAAGGGAAGGGUAUUGGGCUCGACAUGGGAUUUGCGCACCGCUGCUCCUUGUGGGCGGCGCUCUGUGCUUUUCCUGGGCCAGCAUCGGUUUUUGCCGCAGGAGAAGGCGUGCUGGAAUGUGGCUCUUCGGAGUGUUAUAGCCAGUGCGAGAUGCUGCGUGCGGGGACCG
rnacentral:rRNA from 1 species